AUUGAACGCUGGCGGCAGGCUUAACACAUGCAAGUCGAGCGGGGGAAGGUAGCUUGCUACCGGACCUAGCGGCGGACGGGUGAGUAAUGCUUAGGAAUCUGCCUAUUAGUGGGGGACAACAUCUCGAAAGGGAUGCUAAUACCGCAUACGUCCUACGGGAGAAAGCAGGGGAUCUUCGGACCCUGCGCUAAUAGAUGAGCCUAAGUCGGAUUAGCUAGGUGGUGGGGUAAAGGCCUACCAAGGCGACGAUCUGUAGCGGGUCUGAGAGGAUGAUCCGCCACACUGGGACUGAGACACGGCCCAGACUCCUACGGGAGGCAGCAGUGGGGAAUAUUGGACAAUGGGGGGAACCCUGAUCCAGCCAUGCCGCGUGUGUGAAGAAGGCCUUAUGGUUGUAAAGCACUUUAAGCGAGGAGGAGGCUACUCUAGUUAAUACCUAGGGAUAGUGGACGUUACUCGCAGAAUAAGCACCGGCUAACUCUGUGCCAGCCGCCGCCGUAA
rnacentral:rRNA from 1 species